rnacentral:rRNA from 1 species
GACGAACGCUGGCGGCGUGCUUAACACAUGCAAGUCGAACGGAAAGGCCCUGCUUUUGUUGGGUUCUCGAGUGGCGAACGGGUGAGUAACACGUGAGUAACCUGCCCUUGACUUUGGGAUAACUUCAGGAAACUGGGGCUAAUACCGGAUAGGAGCUCCUGCUGCAUGGUGGGGGUUGGAAAGUUUCGGCGGUUGGGGAUGGACUCGCGGCUUAUCAGCUUGAUGGUGGGGUAGUGGCUUACAAAGGCUUUGACGGGUAGCCGGCCUGGGAGGGUGACCGGCCACAUUGGGACUGAGAUACGGCCCAGACUCCUACGGGAGGCAGCAGGGGGGAAUAUUGCACAAUGGGCGGAAGCCUGAUGCAGCAACGCCGCGUGCGGGAUGACGGCCUUCGGGUUGUAAACCGCUUUCGCCUGUGACGAAGCGUGAGUGACGGUAAUGGGUAAAGAAGCACCGGCUAACUACGUG